AGACCCCAGGGACAAGACUGCUGAUAGUGCCGUUGCGAAAUUAAUGCAAGAACUGGAAGACACAGAAGGGGCGCUAAAGCAGUGUGCGAAAG